rnacentral:rRNA from 1 species
UACGGGGGGGGCAAGCGUUGUUCGGAAUUACUGGGCGUAAAGGGCUCGUAGGCGGCCAACUAAGUCAGACGUGAAAUCCCUCGGCUUAACCGGGGAACUGCGUCUGAUACUGGCUGGCUUGAGUGUGGGAGAGGAAUGCGGAAUUCCAGGUGUAGCGGUGAAAUGCGUAGAUAUCUGGAGGAACACCGGUGGCGAAGGCGGCAUUCUGGACCAUUACUGACGCUGAGGAGCGAAAGCCAGGGGAGCAAACAGG